AGGGAAUAUUGGUCAAUGGACGCAAGUCUGAACCAGCCAUGCCGCGUGAAGGAUGAAGGUCCUCUGGAUUGUAAACUUCUUUUAUCUGGGACGAAAGCGGGAUUUUUAUCUCAAUUGACGGUACCAGAGGAAUAAGCACCGGCUAACUCCGUGCCAGCAGCCGCGGUAAUACGGAGGGUGCGAGCGUUAUCCGGAUUUACUGGGUUUAAAGGGUGCGUAGGUGGGCUUAUAAGUCAGUGGUGAAAUCUCCGAGCUUAACUUGGAAACUGCCGUUGAUACUAUAUGUCUUGAAUUAUCUGGAGGUAAGCGGAAUAUGUCAUGUAGCGGUGAAAUGCUUAGAUAUGAAAUAGAACACCAAUUGCGAAGGCAGCUUACUACAUAUAAAUUGACGCUGAGGCACGAAAGCGUGGGGAUCAAACAG
rnacentral:rRNA from 1 species